rnacentral:rRNA from 1 species
UACGUAGGGUGCAAGCGUUGUCCGGAAUUAUUGGGCGUAAAGAGCUCGUAGGCGGCCUGUUGCGUCCGCUGUGAAAGCCCGGGGCUUAACCCCGGGUCGCAGUGGAUACGGGCAGGCUAGAGGUAGGUAGGGGAGAAUGGAAUUCCCGGUGUAGCGGUGAAAUGCGCAGAUAUCGGGAGGAACACCGGUGGCGAAGGCGGUUCUCUGGGCCUUACCUGACGCUGAGGAGCGAAAGCGUGGGGAGCGAACGG